CAUGAGUUGGUCACACUGCAAAAAGUGCAUUUCCGCUUGUGUUUGUAUAUAUCUACACCUAGCAUUAGUCACGCACAUUGCACCCGAAUCGGAAUAAUUUGAGGUGCUCUUAAUAAAAAAAAAACACCCUUAAUUAUUCAUAUAAGUAAUACAUUCCAUCAGACUCGUAUUCCGAUGACGUUCGAUGAUGAGAUCACCAUGGUUUCAGAUAACUGCAUGUCAUCAGCCGAGCGUCACAGCGGCACAUAGCUGCACGUCAUCACCUAAACGUCACAGUGGCACAUACGGAGCUGCACGUCAUCAGCCGAACGUCGCUGCUGUACAUGGCGCAGGCAAUCAGCGGAAAAUCAAAGCGGUCACACUUUGGUAUAUAAGUAGUGAAACAGGAGUUGGUCCUACUGCAAAAAGCUUGUGAUAAUGGAUGUGUGCAUUUCCGCUUGUGUUUAUAUAUGCUUACACCUGGCAUUAAUCACGCACAUUGCACCCGAAUCGGAAUAAUUUCAGGUGCUUUUAAUUAAAAAAAAAACACCCUUAAUUAAAUAAAUAAUACAUUCCAUCAGACUCGUAUUCCGAUGACGUUCAAUGAUGAGAUCACCAUGGUUUCAGAUAGCUGCAUGUCAUCAACCGAGCGUCAGAAGCUGCACGUCAUCACCUGAACGUCACAGUGGCACAUACAUAGCUGAACGUCGCUGCUGCACAUGGCUGCAAGCAACCAGCUGAAAGUCAAGGCGGUCACACUUCGAAAAGGUAGUCAAAAUGAGUUGGUCACAUUGCAAAAAGCUUGUAAUAUGUGUACAUUUCCGCUUAUGUUUGUCACGCACAUUGCACCGGAAUCGGAAUAAUUGUAGUUGCUAUUAUUUUAAAAAAACACCCUUAAUUAUUGACAUAAAUAAUGUAAGCGCUGAACACGGAGCCGGCGACGUCGGCCACUGAAAAUCUGU